AGUGAACGCUGGCGGUAGGCCUAACACAUGCAAGUCGAACGGCAGCACAGUAAGAGCUUGCUCUUACGGGUGGCGAGUGGCGGACGGGUGAGGAAUACAUCGGAAUCUACUUUUUCGUGGGGGAUAACGUAGGGAAACUUACGCUAAUACCGCAUACGACCUACGGGAGAAAGCAGGGGAUCUUCGGGCCUUGCGCGAUUGAAUGAGCCGAUGUCGGAUUAGCUAGUUGGCGGGGUAAAGGCCCACCAAGGCGACGAUCCGUAGCUGGUCUGAGAGGAUGAUCAGCCACACUGGAACUGAGACACGGUCCAGACUCCUACGGGAGGCAGCAGUGGGGAAUAUUGGACAAUGGGCGCAAGCCUGAUCCAGCCAUACCGCGUGGGUGAAGAAGGCCUUCGGGUUGUAAAGCCCUUUUGUUGGGAAAGAAAAGCAGCAGGUUAAUACCCCGCUGUUCUGACGGUACCCAAAGAAUAAGCACCGGCUAACUUCGUG
rnacentral:rRNA from 1 species